CUGGAGCAGAGGGGACUGUAGGGUAAGAAGUAGGAGUCACUGGCAAAGUGAAGAGGGAAUGCUGGUAGGAGUUGGGAUGGACAGGACAUCAUUUUACAGGUAGAGAGAAAGAAGUCCAGAGUCUGGUAGAGCACAGAAUGCCUGGUACCUUCAAAGACCUGAAGGAAGAUCUCUGUUUCUCGGUUUUGGAAACUCAUAAACCAAGAGAUUGACUGUGGACAUUUCCUGAGAGAUCCCUUUGAAAACCCAGAGUUGAAAAAUUCGAGGUGGGAACUGCUGAACAAGAUCAGCUAUCAUGAUGCCCCUUCGGAAGGAAGCUCCCUGACAUUUUCCCUCACGUGAUACGAGACGAUGAUGGGUCUCUUCCGUCUUCUGAGUCUGUACGUUGGCCACGAUGGACUUCAAUGAAACAUCCCCUUCCUGGCUCCCUCUACUGCCCCCUGGGAUGGCAGCCCUAUGGGGUCACAUACAUCAUCAACUCACGCCAAAGGCAUAGCAUGGGUUGAAGAGAGCAUCAGGCUUGUAGAGACGAGGCAAGCAUUAGGGGCAGCACAAUGAGUGAGCAAUGCUGGGAAACGACCAGCUGCAAAAUCCUCCAUCAGCUUUGGUGUAAGCUAAUGACCCAGCUCUGACGUUCUUCCUUCAGGCCAUGUUUCAGGACUCACACUAUCUGGGUAAUUAGGACUCCUUUCCAGCCAAAAUGAGAAACCUGGCUUUGUGAAAUGCUUGGAAAGAAAGCAGAGUAUAUAUGGAAGCCAGCGGAUACCUGACCUGGGAGCCAACUCAUUAGGACGAAUAACAGAUGAGUUUGUUGUUUUGCCUUCACUGAUCUAAGGAUGUUCUGUUGCUUCAAAACCCCCAAGUCUGGCUCUGGUGAUUGGCUGUUGCUUUGGUUGCCCUGAUGUAAUUAUUGAUGUGAAUGGCAUUAAUGGACCGUGGAAUAGUUGGCAUCCAUGUAUGGAUGAACUGAUUUAGACCGGCUACCAAAGUGACCCAGUUUGUUGUUUGGUAAUUGGUUAUGAAGUGAGCCAACACUUACAGACUUAGCAAUUCAGUCGUCGUACAUCGUAAGAGACACAGAAAGAAAAGGAGUGCUCUACAGUGUGUGUUCUGUACUUUCUUAAACAAAUACUGUGGAGGCCCUGCUGUGGGCCAGGUGCUGUGCUAGGUUCUGAGAAGGCGUCAGAGGCGGGAUUAGAAGGUGAACAAGAACAAAAGCAAAAAUAAACAAAUGGGACCCAAUUAAACUUAAAAACUUUUGCACAGUGAAGGAAACCAUCAACAAAAUGGGCAGAGGACCUACUGAAUGGGAGCAGAUGGUGCAAACGAUGUGUCUGACAAGGGGUAAUACCCGAAACACAUACACAGCUCAUGCAACUUAGUAUCGGAAAAACAAACAACCUGAUUAAAAAAAUGGGCAGAAGACCUGAACAGACAGUUUUCCAAAGAAGACAAACGUGGCCAACAGGCACAUGAAGAGAUGCUCAACGUCACUAAUCAUCGGGGAAACGCAAAUCCAAGCCACAAGGAGAUAUCAACUCCUGCCUGUUAGACUGGCUAUUGUAAAAAGACAAUGAAUAAUAAAUGCUGGGGAGGAUGUGGAGAAAAGGGACCCUUGUGCACUGUUAGUGGGAAUGGAAAUUGGUGCAGCCACUGUGGAAAACAGUAGGGAGGUUCCUCAAAAAGCUAAAAAUAGAGCUAACAUACGAUCCAGCAAUUCCACUCCUGGGCAUACAUCUGAAGAAAACAAAAACUAAUUUGAAAAGAUACACACACCCCAAUGUUCAUAGUAGCAUUAUUUAAAAUAGCCAAGACAUGGAAACAACAUAAGGGUCCAUCAACUGGUGAAUGGGUAAAGAAGACGUGGAAUAGUACUCAGCCAGGAAAAGAAUGAAAUGUUGCCAUUUGAAACAACACAGAUGCACCCGGAGGAUAUUAUGCUUACUGAAGUAAGUCAGACAGAGAAAGACAACAACUGUGUUGUUUUCAUUUAUCUGCGGAAGCUAACAAGUAAAACGAAUGAAUAUAACAAACAACAACAAAGAAAGAGAGGUUGAGCAGGACAUUGCUUCUGAUCUUGACUGGGGUUCAUUUGGCUAAAGAAGGGUUUAGGCCCCAUACCCUAUUUUACCCAACUCAGGAAGGGGUCUGGAAAGCAUUAAAGUUUAAAAUGCAGGAAUGUGCAGGAAUGUUCAGGACCACUGUGUAAAAGCUCAGCAUAAAAAUGCCAGGCAGGCUGAGGCUUGGGAGAAAGUAUAGUUAAAAGUCACUCUGUUUACUUCCUAAUGUUGUCCUAACAGUGCCAGAAUUGGGCCGCAUAAAACAUCAAGGAAUUGAAUCUUUCAUAGCUGGAGGCCGGAAGUCCAAAAUCCAGGUGUCAGCAGGGUUGGUUCCCUCUCAGGGGUCCAAGGACCGUACCUGCCCGUGCUUCUUCCUAGCUUCUAGGGGUGGCUGCCAGCCUUUGUCGUUCCUUGGCCUGUAGCUGCAUGACUCCAGUCUCUGCGUCGGUUGUCACGUGACCACAUGCCCUCUGUGCCUUUCCAACUCUGGGCACAGUGCUAUUUUACUCUUUUAUCUCGAAAGUUUGUGCCAUUAAUUUUGAGGAGAAUUGGAAGAAGGUACAUUGAUCAAUGAAAUCCACUCUCAUGGAAAAAACAAUUGGGCACAUGUAUUUUUUGUGAGAUGCCACUUGUCAUCGUUCUAUGACAUCAUUCUUAGAGUACCGGUCAUACCAGUUGGUUAGUUUCUCUUCCUAAGGGAAGUAAACAGUUUUUGCCAUUGUUGCAUUAGUCAGGAUAGGCUAAAUCAUACUGCAGUAAUAAGGAACUCCAAAAUCUCAGUGGCUGAACAUUAAGAAAGUUGCUGUGUCUGUUGUGUGACAGCUCUCAUUUCUAGCUCAGGCUGCAGGCCAGCAGGAAGACCCUAUUUAAUACAGUCACUCAGAAACCUAGGCAGACAGAAGCUCCAUUUCAGCCCAGACUUUCAAGAUCACUGCAGCAGGGGACAGGGAACUGGCAGACCCCACACUGGCUGUUAAGACUCCUGUUCAUGUUUCAUUAGCUCAGCGCAGUUGCCAGACCGGAUACAACCAUAACCCGGUGGAGAAGUUCAGGCCCGCUGUGUACCUGGAGGAAGGGUAAUUAGAGUAUUUGUGAACAGCCGUAAUGCCUACCGAAUUCAGAUGCCAAUUUCUUCAGCUCCAGGGUCGUUACCCAUUGACAUCACCAUUCUUUGCAGUUUGGGAGAGGGAGCAUUCUCCCGUGCAGAAUGGAACUUUGGCCAAUCAACUGAACCCAAGGCUGAGCAAACUCUUAGACCCACGGCCAUGUGUAAUAAUGGAAAUAAUAAGAGCAAAGGCUUAGAACGGGACAAAGGAUAUGUGGUCAUCUCUUGAAUAGUCUUAUGAUCAGUAUUCAAUCAUUUAUAAUUAUUUAAUACAGAAGUUACAAAGAUAAUCUUUCUACCUAAGUUUGCAAUUUAUCUAGUUUACUUAGGCCUUAUAGAAAACUUAGCCAAGGAUGGUCAAGUAAUGCAAUUAGUGUGAACCUCAUUUAGAUGGUCACGUUUCUCCUGCGUUGGCAUUUUUGAAUCUAGUCUAUCUUUGGCUAGAGGGACCCUGUAGAGACUUCUGUCUAUGCUGUGAGUUCCUCUUUCUGCAACUUCAAGUGUCUUUUUGUUUUUCCUCUUUGAGAUAAAAUUGGAGAGCCCCAUCAUUUUCUUUUCCUUCACAGGAAAGUGUUUAGUCAGGAGGGGAAACAAACCAAUUAGGAUGGUGCUAAAGAGUGAUCCCUAAUCAAGUUACAUUUUAAUGGAGCCUCAGGAUUUACCGAUGAACUCUUUCAACAGUGAGGACAGCACUGGAACGAAAAGAGAAAAAAUAAGCACUAGUCUUCCAUUUCAAGAAGUCAAAAAACGUUGCCCUUUUUUUUUCUUCUUCAAAAUUAAAGGAUUGCACUGGAGCAGUUUCCACUGGUGCUGUUAUACAUCUGCCACAAAAGAACAACUCUGAAUAAUGAACAUCCUACCUUCACAGCAGGAGACCAAGCUGCGGAGAGGCUCUGGAUAGUGAUGUACUUAAUAAUUAGAAAUAUGAGCAGGAAUUGACCUUCCAAGUUGGAUAUAUUAUUAUUCACUUUACCUGCUCACUGUCACAGUGGGUGCUGUCACAGAGACUGUGACUAAAAACCCUGAUAAAGAUGUCUCCGCCAAGUCCCAUAAAUAACCUAUUUGCCAAUUGUGCCUGAGGUGUACAUGGCAUAUGCUUAGAUCCCUGUGGGAAUCUGGAUGUGGCAAGUGGCUUGGAGUUUACAGAGAAUUUGUACCCAGUUUGUAGGUAAGGGACACACUGUACCUAAGGCAGUGGGCCAGUGUCCUCCAGAAAUAGCCACCUGCUCCUUAGAGAGGAGAUUAAUGUGGGCUACGUGCUAUCCCUGAAAAUGAGGGGCCAUCCAAUGCCAUCUAUUUUUUAAUAGUCUUUACAUAUGUAGUGAAAUAUACACGCUUUCAGGAAAGAACAUAAGACUGAAUUUCAAAAGCAUGACUCUCCCUGUUUGAGGCGACUCACGACGGCUGUCCUCACCUGGUUUCACUGCCCACCGGAAAGGCCAGCCUUCAGGCCUCAAGGUGUAGAAGGGAUAUUAACAAUUAGCGGUGAAGGGGGUGUUCAGGGCUUAUUACGUGUUAUAGUUCCCAGAGGAGCCAACAGCAUCACCACCCAAUGUGAGUUUUCACACAUGGUUCCGUGUCCUUUUCUGGUUUAAGGUCUGUGCUCUGCUCAUGAUUUCAAUGUAAUAAUUCGUGUGAAAGCACCUGGCACAGUACCUGCAGACAGUAGGUGCUCAAUAGUUGGCAGUUUCCCUCUCUGUACCCUUUGCUGCAGCUUAGCAGCAGUGACGUCAGCCUGGAGCGCGCAGAUGAGGCCUGAGUUCCCUCUUGGGUGUGAUCAGUAGUCAUCCUCAGGUAAUGCCUUGCAUUUGAGAAUCUCACCCUCCUCCGGCCAUCAUGUAGUCCAAUAGCCCAAGUCUCAAGAAGGCAUUGGCAAAUGUAAAAAUUUGAGGUUGAUGAGGCCAGUCCUGGAGGUACUCACCGGUCCAGACAGUGCCCCGCAGUAGGCCAGUGAAGACCAGCAGUUAGGAUGAGUGAAUUUCACUGCAUAUGGGGCUGGCAGGGAAACACGCGAUUGCAUCAGCUUCCUGGGGCAGCGGGGGAAUGUCAAGUACAAGAGGCAGAAGGAACCACGCAGCCUGCUCUUUGAAGGUUAAUUCUUUCGCUUUGCAGGGCAGCUCUCCACCUGCAGAGCCCAGCCGAGGGGGAAUUCACUGGCGCGGUGCAUAUGCUCCAUAUUGCAGCCGAGUGCGGGGCACCUCUCUCAACCCUGGCCUUUUGCUGUGGUGCCUGAGGACCAAAGGGCACUCCCUUAGCGCCGCUGUCAGCAGCUCCCGCCUCCCUCCCUUCUCCGUAACCUCUGCACCGCCCACAGCCCACAUCGGUGGGGUCAUAUGAAUGGCAGUGUCUCUUCUCCGCCAUCUGGUGAUUCAUUCUUCCCUCCCCGCUGCCUGGAACCGUGAGAGCUGCUCGCAGGUUGCCAAGUCAGCUGGAGAGGACGGCUGCUGCCUGCGACCCGCCAGACAGCGGGGCAUCUUCAGAGCCCUCGCGACACGCUCCAAUCACGUGCAACGGCUGAGUCGAAAUAAAAAAAUAUCGCACCAAAUGAACACACUAAUUAGUUAAUUAAUUAAUAAGCGACUUGGUGUGUGUAUGGGUUAUAGAUCCAAAGAGACAGGGACGUGUGAAGGAUUCAUACUGUUAUUUUUUGUGUUCAGAUAGAUUUGAAAAAGUACAUCAUAGGGACAGGGUAUAGGUCAGUGGUAGCGUGCAUGCCUAGCAUGCAUGAGGUCCAGGGUUCAAUCCCCAGCACCUCCAUUAAAGUCAAUAAAUAAACCUAAUUACCUCCCCCCCAAAACGAAACAAAAAAAGUGUUUCACGGAAGGCUUCUAUUGGUUUCCUAGGGCAGCCAGAACAAAUUUACCACAAACUGGGUGGUUUAAAACAACAAAAAUGUAUUGUCUCACAGUUCUGGAGGCUGGAAGUCUGAACUCAAGGUGUGGGCAGGGUUGGUUCCUUCUGGAGGGAGAAUUUGUCUCAUGUCUCUCUCCUGCCUUUCGGUGGUUGCCGACAAUCCUUGAUACUCCUUGGCUUAUAGAUGCAGCCCUCCGACCUCUGCCUCGGUCGCCACAUGGCGUUCCCCUCUCGGUCUCUGUUUCUGUGUCCAAUUUUCUCUCAUAAAGAUACCAAUCAUUGGAUUAGGACUCACCCUAAUCCAGUGUGACCUCAUCUCCAUUUGAUUAUAUGUAUAAACGAAGACCCUAUUUCCAAAUAAGGUCUAAUCACAGGUAGUGGGAGUUAGGACUUGAACAUAUCUUUGUGGCAGAUACAAUUCAAGACUCAAAGGCAGUGCAGUUAAAAAAAAAGAGUAGCCUUUUUCAAUAAAUGAGGCUAGAACGAUUGGAUAUACAUAUGUCAAAAAAAAAAAAAAAGAGCUUCAAUUCAUACUUAACAAUCUACAAAGGUAAACCCCAAAUGAAUCAUAGACCUAAUGUAAAACCUAAAACCACAAAAGUUCUAGAGAAAAAUGGAAGAAAAUAUUUGUGAUCUUGGGGAGGCGAAGAUUUUUCUUUUUAAAUGACAUCAAAAAGACAAUCUAUAAGGGAACAAAUUGAUGAAUUGGAUUUUAUCAAGACAGAAAACUCCUGCUCUUCAGAAGACAUUGUUAAGGGAAUGAACAAGCCACAGACUGGGAGAAAAUCUUUGCAAAGUACAUACGUGAGAAAACACUCAUAUCCAGGAAAUAAAAAGACAUUUUAAAACUCAACAGUAAGGGAACAAAUAGCUCAAUUAAAAGUGGGCAAAGAUCUCUGGAUACUCCACCAAAGAAGAUAUUUGUGGGGAGCAAAUAACACAUGAAAAGAUGUUCAACAUUACUAGUCAUUAAAACCACAAACUAAAACCACAGUGAGAUACCACAACAUUCCUGUUAUAAUGACUAAAAUGAAAACAACUGACCAUACCAAGUGUUGGUGAAGAUGGAGAGGAAAUGGAACCAUAUGAUAUGCUGCUGGUGGGAAUGUAAAAUGGUAAGAAAGAUUUUGGAAAAUAGUUCGACAAUUUAAAAAAUGAGAAGAAAAACACGUACCUACCAUAGGACUCUGGCCAUUCCACUGCCAAGCAUUUGCCAAAGAGAAAAGAAAAUAUAUGUCCACACAAAGACUCACACACAGAUGUUCUUAGCAACUUAACUUGUAACAGCCAAAAGCUGCAAACAAUCAAAAUGACCAUUAACAUAUGAAUUGCUAUGGACAGAAUUGUGCCCCCACCAUCAAAUUCAUAUGUGAAGCCCUAACCUCUAAUGUGACUGUAUUAAGAGUAAGGAAGUAAUUAAGGUUAAAUGAGGUUAUAUGGUUGGGACCCUAAUCUGCUAUGAUAGGAAGACACACCAGAGAGCCUGCUUGCUCCCUCCACCAUGUAAGGUUUCAAUGAGAGGGUGGUCAUCUGAAAACCAGGAAGAGAGUCCUCACUGGAAUCUGACCAUGUUGGCAUCCUGAACUUGAACUUAGGGCUUCUAGAACUAAGAGAAAAUAAAUUUCUAUUAUCUAAGCCACCCAAUUUAUGAUACUUUAUUUUGGCAGCAUGAACAGACUAUGUGAAUGAAUACAUGGAUGAAUAAACAAGUUGUGGUAUAUCUAUGUAAAAGAAUACUGCUUAGUAACAAAAAGCAACAACUAAUGAUACACACAGUGGUGUGAAUAAAUCUCAAAAUAAUAAUGCUGAGUGAAAGAAGCCAGACCCCCUUCCCCCAAUACAAAAAAAAAAAGAGUACACAUCGUAUGACUCCAUUUAUAUAAAACUCUAGAAAAUGCAAACUUAUCCAUAGUGAUAGCUCAUCAGUGGUUGCUUGCAGUUGGGGAGAGGUGAUUGGCAGGGAUGGGAGAAACAUAUUACAGUGGGGUGUGAGAAGAAUUUUGAGGAUAACAUAUAUUUACUAUCUUGAUUGGGGUGAUAGCUUCAUGGGUGUGUACAUAUGUCAAAACUUAUUAAAUUGUAUACUUACCUGUAGUUCAUUGUAUAUUAAUUAUUCCUCAAUUAAAAUAUAUUGUGUAUCUGUUAUAUAUCAGAUAUUUUGCUAUGUAUUUUCAUGAAAUAUUAAUUUAUUUCUGAAAGUAUGGCAUGGUGGGAAUAAAACUGAAUUUCAGAGAAUAAUAUACCUCUGGAACAAGAAUGUAUUCUAUAGAGAGGUGGGGGAGGGAAGAGAGAAAAGACAUAGUGAAUACAAUCCAAAGUGAUUCCUGGGACAGAGAGGGAGGAGGCAGGGUAGAAAAAAAAUGGAAAGGCAACAUGGCUGAUUGUGUUUUCCAGCAAUGGGCACAUUAUUUUUUCUUACAAUGUAGCUCUGAUACUCUUUCCAUUGAGAGGUGGAGUCUAUGUCCCCUCUUUUUCGAUAUGAAGAGAACUGUGACUUCUUUGGAGGUAAUGCUAUAUGACUUCUGAAAUCACGAAAGGUGAUUCAGCUUCUGCCUAGUUUUCUUGUGAUGUUCACUCCUGGAACCUAGACCCCAUGAUGUGAGGAAGCCCAAGUAGCUAUGAGGAGAUCUUGUUGACAGCUCCAUCUGGGGUCUUAGCUGAUAGCCACAUCAACCACCAGACAUAUUGGUGAGCAAGUGUUUGGAUGAGUUCAGUCCUAGCCCUUGAAUCACCCCAGCUAAGGUUCUGACAUUGUGGAGCAGAGGAGAGGUGUCAUUAAUGCAUCCUUCCUGAAUUCCCAACCGACCCACAGGAUCUGUGAGCACAAUAAAAUGAUUGUUGUUUUAUA